rnacentral:rRNA from 1 species
UACAGAGGUCUCAAGCGUUUGUUCGGAUUCAUUGGGCGUAAAGGGUGCGUAGGCGGUAGAGUAAGUCUGGUGUGAAAUCCUGGAGCUUAACUUCAGAAAUGCACUGGAUACUGCUUUUGCUAGAGGACUGGAGAGGAGAUUGGAAUUCACGGUGUAGCAGUGAAAUGCGUAGAUAUCGUGAGGAAGACCAGUGGCGUAAGCGAAUCUCUGGACAGUUCCUGACGCUGAGGCACGAAGGCUAGGGGAGCAAACGGG